UGCUCCACAGAGCCUGCUUCAGCCACCCUCAUGAAGGAGUGGCUCUCUGGAAGGGAGAUGGAAAGGGACACUUUGGGAAAUGUUGUUAUAAGGGUCAAAAGAGAUACCAUGUAAAGUACUUUGCAAAGUUUAAAGUGCUAUAUAAAUGCUCCUGCUGCUGCUGCUACUGAUGACGACGACGACGACGAUGACAACGAUGAUGAUGAUGAUGAUACUGACAAAACCAACCUUUGAGGCUGGAGUCCAAUUUAAUGAGAAGUAGAGAAGACUUGGAAGCUUGGAGUAAGAAGAUAUCAGCCCAGGUGACAAAUGUCAUUGACUCCUCUCUUCAUUACAAUAGACUCUGAGGGGUGGGGAAGCUGUGGUCUCAGGGCCACAAGUGGCCUUCUAGGUCCUUGGGUGCAGCCUUUAAACUGAAUCCGAGUUUUACAGAAUGAAUCCUUUUAUUAAGGGGAUUUGUUCUGAGAAGUUUGGAUUCAGUCAAAGGGCUGGCCUCGAGGC